rnacentral:rRNA from 1 species
UACGGAGGGUGCAAGCGUUAUCCGGAUUUACUGGGUUUAAAGGGUGCGCAGGCGGCUUUUUAAGUCAGUGGUGAAAUCUCUAGGCUUAACCUGGAAAUUGCCGUUGAUACUAUAUAUCUUGAAUGUUGUGGAGGUAAGCAGAAUAUGUCAUGUAGCGGUGAAAUGCUUAGAUAUGACAUAGAAUACCUAUUGCGAAGGCAGCUUACUACGCAGAUAUUGACGCUCAUGCACGAAAGCGUGGGGAUCAAACAGG